CACCACUGAGAAGAGCCUGAUGCUAAUCUCUUCGCAAUCCUCCCUUCGGGUAUUUAUGUACAUUAAUAGGUUCCCAUGUGGGCCUUCUCCAGGCUGAGAAAUCCCAUCUCCCUCACUAUUUCCUCCUGUGCAUCAUCUUUGUGGCCCUUCCUUGGACUCUCUCCAGUGUGUCUGUGUCUCUCUUGUACCAGGGAGCCCAGAGCUGGACACAGCAUUCCAGAGUUGUGUGCUGGUUGGGAAGAGGAGUGAAGGAAACUUCUGUUGCUUCACAGGAAAUGUGAUGAAAUAUGAUGGGCUGGCCAGCAGAUUUCUGUGAACUGACCCAGCAGGAGAGGCAAACUGUGUGAGGCUGGAGAGAUCAAAAAGAAGUGCAAUGAAGUUUCCUCCUGUAAGUUGCAGAUAGACAGCAGUGAUACCUGAAGGCCUGCAAUGAUAUGCUUACUUUGUCUAGUGCUCCUUGAAAUACAUGUAAGCAAUCUUCUAAGCUUAGUGGAAAUUAUCUGCUAUGUAUUUCACAGUGUUAGUCAGAAGCAAUAGAAGCACUGAAAUACAUUUGCCAUGCCCUGCAGAGAAGUCAGUUAUUUGAUGGUAUACAGAUUGGAACAUUUUAUCCUGCUACCCUGAAGUCUGAAUACAUCCUUUAUCUGCAGACUUAGUCUAGGAAAAAGAACAGAAAAGGACUUUAAGACACCACGGUAGUCUUUCUAUCCUAAGAAAGGAUCAAGUACACUGAAACCAUUGAUGUAUUUAAAGUAGUCUUACAAGAUACCAAACAAUGAAGAUUUUAUUGCCUUGCAGAUAACCUCUUCCACUGUUUUGGGAACUUUACUAAUGGAAAACUUGUCCUACUGUUUAAUGUGUAUUUCCUUUUCGGCAAUGAGAGCAUGUUCCCUUAGCUAGAGCUUCGCCUGAAACCUGUGUUUGCCAGGUAAUGCCUGUGAGCCUAAUGGUAACAAGCAGAAGAUUGUUUCAUUUAUAGUACAUAAAAUAGAGAAGCAGUUGCAUUUCCUGCUGGACAGGAAAGCUGCUCAUUUUAAUGUGAUAUCUCUUCCUUUUUGUGCAAUACAUUACAGACUAGCAAUGUAAUCUUUCUCUGAGCCUGUACCUCUGUUUUUAAUGCAUCAGUGUUUGUGGAAAUGAACUGUAUCAAAAAGCUUAAGCCUAGUAAUAGACUUAGUGUGGCUCUGAGGAAAGCAGCUUAACUGCUCUGUGUCUCUAUUUUGUAUACAGGAAAACACUUCUAAGGCUUUUCCCUAAACCCUGUGUUUUUCAUUUCAUGACACUGUGGUUGUCCAUGUAUUUCAGAAUGUCUGUUCGGAGCUUUUUCUCCUAACUGAGUCCUAAAAAGCUGUGGUAUUGUUAGUAGCCACUCCUGAGCUUAGACAAAUCCUUGGGGAUGAUCAGCCCUAAGCCUUGCUUGUGCCCUGCUAUAGAGAGCCAGGAAUGGAGUUGGCAGACUUGGAAAUGCAUGAAAACAUGUGAAGUGAAAACAAACACUGAAGAGUCCCUGCUUUUCUCCCCACAUGCUGCCCCAGUGAUU